UCCAGGGUAGCCUAGUGGACAUGGCAUCUGCCCGGUAAGCGGAACAUUGUGGGUUCGAUUCCCAUCCCUGAAC